UUCUGCAUCGUCUGCUGUCUCGCUUUGUGUAUCUGAGCACAGUGAUGGGACUGCCAGAUGGUAAGCAUCCCAAGGACGUUAGUGAAGCCAAGACUCAUGCGGAGCCAUCGCAGAAUACAAUUUGUUUCAUUGUAACAGCAUGCCAAGACAGGCUCAGCAGUGGGGUGGUGUGCUCUAUGCUCUCAUAAGUAUGCAAGAACAGAAUGAAGCAAAGCUCCAUCAUACAUAAAAUUAAUGGAAAGAGAGGUGGUCAUCUAGAAAGGGUUGUUUUAACCUGGAUAGGUGAAGCAUCUUUGCUUUCGCAUAUGAAAAGCGGAGUGCGUUGGCAGUGUUUUCCUGAUCUGUCUCUGCUCUCUCCAUAAUGUAUGAGGUGCUGGAGGAGCCCUUCAUUAGUCUCUGUUGGGCCGGCUGGGCAAGCUGGAGAUGACUCCCGGGGCAGUGCUGGACAGAGCUGUAAAUUGCAUGGCCUGCCCCUGCUGAGCCAGCAGCCAAGACUGCAUGUGUGAAUUAGGGAGUUUGUGCCAGA